rnacentral:rRNA from 1 species
CAGUAGCCACGGUAAUACGUAGGGUGCGAGCGUUAAUCGGAAUUACUGGGCGUAAAGCGUGCGCAGGCGGUUCGUUAAGACAGAUGUGAAAUCCCCGGGCUUAACCCGGGAACUGCAUUUGUGACUGGCGAGCUAGAGUAUGGCAGAGGGGGGUAGAAUUCCACGUGUAGCAGUGAAAUGCGUAGAGAUGUGGAGGAAUACCGAUGGCGAAGGCAGCCCCCUGGGCCAAUACUGACGCUCAUGCACGAAAGCGUGGGGAGCAAACAGAAUUAGAUACCCCUGUAGUCCCUGUCUCUUAUAC